rnacentral:misc_RNA from 1 species
UACCAUUAUGUUGUGAAGGAAUUAUAUUACAAUUACCACAAAAUUACACUUUCUGCAACUUCAUAUACAAGACAAAAUAAUUAUAAAGCUGAGUAAUAAGUGCAGCCAGUUACGCACAGGAGGGGGCAUCAAAAUUAGGGAACACUAUGAAUGUAAUGGACAGUGGACUGAUGUAUAUAGGAGAAUUCACAUUAUUAUGGACAGGGUCUAAUCUCGGGAUGUCUCCAUUUUCGGUAAGUUCUAAUGGGAUUCCAUUUAGAACCAUGGUUUGGCUUUGAAGGUACCCAUCUUUUGGAGUUAGAUGGUACUCCUCUCUGGUAGCUCCAUCGGAUGCUUCAUUUCCAACCCACGAAAGUGAUCUCUUAAGGACAUGCAUGAAAGAGCUUUCUCUCUGAAUUUUCUUUUCGACGUGCAACCUCAAUGUCAGAUUAUUUCUAACACUGAUUAUAAAAUCAGUCUGAUUGC